AUUGAACGCUGGCGGCAGGCCUAACACAUGCAAGUCGAACGAGUGGCGGACGGGUGAGUAAUGUCUGGGAAACUGCCUGAAGGAGGGGGAUAACUACUGGAAACGGUAGCUAAUACCGCAUACCAUCGGAUGUGCCCAGAUGGGAUUAGCUAGUAGGUGGGGUAACGGCUCACCUAGGCGACGAUCCCUAGCGGGUCUGAGAGGAUGACCGGCCACACUGGAACUGAGACACGGUCCAGACUCCUACGGGAGGCAGCAGUGGGGAAUAUUGCACAAUGGGCGCAAGCCUUAUGCAGCCAUGCCGCGUGUAUGAAGAAGGCCUUCGGGUUGUAAAGUACUUUCAGCGGGGAGGCGUUACCCGCAGAAGAAGCCCCGGCUAACUCCGUGCCAGCAGCCGCGGUAAUUC
rnacentral:rRNA from 1 species